UGAGAGGCUUGGUCCUGGCCUUAGUGUUAAUUGUAAUUAGGAUUAUACAUGCAAGUCUCAGCACACCCGUGAGAAUGCCCUCAUUAGUCUAUCAACUAACCAGGAGCUGGUAUCAGGCACACGCACGUAGCCCAAGACACCUUGCUAAGCCACACCCCCAAGGGAUUUCAGCAGUAAUAAACAUUGAUUUAUAAGCGCAAGCUUGAAUCAGUUAGAAUUAACUGGGUUGGUAAAUCUCGUGCCAGCCACCGCGGUUAUACGAGUAACCCUUAUUAACACUCCACCGGCGUAAAGAGUGGUUUAAGAACUUUCCCCCGAACUAAAGUUGAGACCCUAUUAAGCUGUUAUACGCUCUCAUGGGUGGAAUCACCAACAACGAAAGUAACUUUACAACACCGGAAAACCUUGACCCCACGACAGUUGAGCCCCAAACUAGGAUUAGAUACCCUACUAUGCUCAACCCCAAACUUAGAUAAUAACCUACCUAUUAUCCGCCAGAGUACUACAAGCGCUAGCUUAAAACCCAAAGGACUUGGCGGUGCCUCAGACCCACCUAGAGGAGCCUGUUCUAUAAUCGAUAAUCCCCGUUUAACCUCACCACAUCUUGCCAAUACCGCCUAUAUACCGCCGUCGUCAGCCCACCCUGUGAGGGUUAAGAAGUAAGCAAAAAGAAUUAACUUCCAUACGUCAGGUCAAGGUGUAGCGAAUGAAGUGGAAAGAAAUGGGCUACAUUUUCUACCAAGAAAACACGAACAGUAAACUGAAAAAUUACUUGAAGGUGGAUUUAGCAGUAAGAAAAAUUAGAGUAUUUCUCUGAAGCUGGCUCUGAGGCGCGCACACACCGCCCGUCACUCUCCUUAAAAAAAUAUUAAUUUCUCCUUAAACAAAAUUUUUUCACAAGAGGAGGCAAGUCGUAACAUGGUAAGUGUACUGGAAAGUGCACUUGGAAU
rnacentral:ncRNA from 1 species